AUGGCUCCGGUACGGCGGCUCCCUGGAGAUCCUCCUCCACAGUACGGACCGAACGACGACCUCUUUUCAGUAGAGAUUCAUCACAGUGGGUUCUUUUGUGGUGACGGCCCAAACAAGACAUAUGUAGAUGAGCGUAUUGACACAUUUGAUUGUUGUGAAGUGGACACAUGGUCUCUGCUUUGGAUAGAAGAUUUUGUUAGGCAGUGUGGCUAUGCAGAUGUCACAAGGUUGGAAGUGUAUUGGUUGCUGCCAGGGAAAUCAUUGUUUGGUGGUCUGCGAGUGCUCGGGUGUGAUGCUGACACAAAUUAUAUGAUGUCUGUGGUCAGCAAGAUCAAAACUUUUGAGCUAUAUGUGAAUGAUAAAGAUCUGGAGAGAUCAAUCUUCAGUGAUAAUGACAUUCCAAUGACUGGAGGCCCUGAGCUGCCUAAGGUU
rnacentral:rRNA from 1 species